UACAGAGGGUGCGAGCGUUGUCCGGAAUCACUGGGCGUAAAGGGCGCGUAGGCGGCUCGGUCAGCGUGCGGUGAAAGCCCGGGGCUCAACCCCGGGUCGGCCGUGCGAACUGCUGGGCUGGAGCACUGUAGAGGCAGGUGGAAUUCCGGGUGUAGCGGUGGAAUGCGUAGAGGUCCGGAAGAACACCGGUGGCGAAGGCGGCCUGCUGGGCAGUAGCUGACGCUGAUGCGCGACAGCGUGGGGAGCAAACAGG
rnacentral:rRNA from 1 species